GGGGGUCAAGGGGUGCCUGAUAGGCAAAUCCGUCAGGCAUUAGCCUCGUGAUCAUCGCAAGCUUAUCGAAAGAUAAGCAAGGGGUGGGACUGGGGUGCCAAGAAAAUCUUCUAGGGCUAAGUCUAUAGAAACCGUACCGCAAACCGACACAGGUGGGUGGGCAUGAGUGUGCUCAGAUGAACGAGAGAACCCGCGUUUAGGAACUCGGCAAUACAGCGACCGUAACUUAGGGAUAAGGUCUCCCCACCGCAAGGUGGGGCGCAGCUAAAGACGCAAACCGACUGUUUACCAAAAACACAGCUUCCUGCUAAAUCGCAAGAUGAAGUAUAGGAAGUGAUGCCUGGCCAGUGUCAGAACGUUAAAGGGAGAGGUCAUGAUCGCAAGAUCGGCAGCCUUGAGCUGAAGCGCUGAUGAACGCCGGCGAUAACUAUAAUCGUCCUAAGGUAGCGAAAUUCCUUGACGGGUGAGUUCCGUCCCGCACGAAUGGCAUAACGAGUUUGCGACUGUCUCAACGUGGGACUCGGCGAAAUUGCAAGUGGGGUGAAGAUGCCCUGUAUGCGCAGUCAGACGAAAAGACCCCGUGAAGCUUUACUACAAUUUGAUAUUGGGUAAUGGCUUGGCAUGUUCAGUGUAGGUGGGAGCGUAAGCACCAAUGAGACACCACCCUUGCCUCGACAUUAUUCUCAUCACGAACCAUGAAUCUGGUUUGUGAAACAGUAUCUGAUGGGUAGUUUAACUGGGGCGGUUGCCUCCCAAAAUGUAACGGAGGCGUUCACAAAGGUUAGCUAGGCGCGGAUGGAAAUCGCGCUGAUCCUGCAAUAGGACAAGCUAGCUUAACUGCAAGGCCAACAAGCCGAGCAGAUACGAAAGUAGGAUAUAGUGAUCCGACCGUACGAUAUCGGACGGCGGAAGCUCAACGGAUAAAAGCUACUCCGGGGAUAACAGGCUGAUCAGGUCCAAGAGUCCACAUCGACGACCUGGUUUGGCACCUCGAUGUCGGCUCAUCGCAUCCUGGGGCUGGAGAAGGUCCCAAGGGUUAGGCUGUUCGCCUAUUAAAGCGGUACGCGAGCUGGGUUCAGAACGUCGUGAGACAGUUCGGUCUCCUGUCUACUGUGCGCGUGGAAUGUUGAGGGAGCUGGUCUCUAGUACGAGAGGACCGAGAUCAACGAACCUCUAGUGCGCCGGCUGUCCUACCAAGGGCACCGCCGGGUAGCUACGUUCGGCGCAGAUAAACGCUGAAAGCAUCUAAGCGUGAAACUGUUCCCAAGAUUAACAUUCAUUUAGGACCCUACGAGACUAGUAGGUUGAUAGGUUGCAUGUGUAAGGGUAGCAAUACCUUC
rnacentral:rRNA from 1 species